rnacentral:lncRNA from 1 species
CCCUUAUAUAUAUAUAUACAUAUAUUUGUCUUCCUCUCUCAAACUCAUAUUUUGAAAGCCAUUUUUUUCUCUCUAUCUGUGCAAUUUCAGCUUCUCUUCGUCCUACGUCUUCCAAUAAUUCAUUCUUUCGCGACGUCGGCUCAAUGAAAACCGGAGAAAGUUUUCAACAUUUUUGAUAAGUUAGAUUGUAUAAUUAAAAACUGAUGGGGACUUAAGCCUCUUCCAUCUGUUUCCAGUUUCCACCGUUGGAUGUCACCAACGAUAACUUUAUUGUGUCUAUGUCCAUGAUAAAACUUCCUACGAAGGGGUGACACGAAUUUUAAAAAGAGAUUGUUAAGUAUAUGGAAAAUAAUGAAAAUAUGGCAUAAUUAAUAUUAAGAAUAGUAAAAUUAUGAAAAAUAAGAAUAAAUAAAAUAUUAUAAAUAGUGGGGGUAUAAUCUAAAAAUAGGAUAGCUUUUUUACCAAGGUAUUGAAAAAGGAGAAGUUCAAAGUUUUAUCAUGGAUAAAAAAGAAUAAGUAUAUUACAAUUGCAACCAGCUAGAUUCACACCA